rnacentral:rRNA from 1 species
AAACUAACAAGGAUUCCCCUAGUAGCGGCGAGCGAAGCGGGAAGAGCUCAAAUUUAUAAUCUGGCACCUUCGGUGUCCGAGUUGUAAUCUCUAGAAAUGUUUUCCGCGUUGGACCGCACACAAGUCUGUUGGAAUACAGCGGCAUAGUGGUGAGACCCCCGUAUAUGGUGCGGACGCCCAGCGCUUUGUGAUACAUUUUCGAAGAGUCGAGUUGUUUGGGAAUGCAGCUCAAAUUGGGUGGUAAAUUCCAUCUAAAGCUAAAUAUUGGCGAGAGACCGAUAGCGAACAAGUACCGUGAGGGAAAGAUGAAAAGCACUUUGGAAAGAGAGUUAACAGUACGUGAAAUUGUUGGAAGGGAAACGCUUGAAGUCAGACUUGCUUGCUGAGCAAUCGGUUUGCAGGCCAGCAUCAGUUUUCCGGGAUGGAUAAUGGUAGAGAGAAGGUAGCAGUUUCGGCUGUGUUAUAGCUCUCUGCUGGAUACAUCUUGGGGGACUGAGGAACGCAGUGUGCCUUUGGCGGGGGUUUCGACCUCUUCACACUUAGGAUGCUGGUGGAAUGGCUUUAAACGACCCGUCUU